rnacentral:rRNA from 1 species
UCGUAACAAGGUAUUCCGUUGGUGAACCAGCGGAGGGAUCAUUGA